rnacentral:rRNA from 1 species
GCUUACUGACCACACCGGCCUGAGUACGCCUGAUCUCGUCUUGAUCUCCGAAACUAAGUAGGGUCGGGCCAUGGUUAGUACUUGGAUGGGAGACCGCCUGGGAAUACCAGGUGCUGUAAGCU